CUGUUUUCCCAAAAAAUGUCAAACAGUUCCUUUAAUUGAUCAGGAAGCCAGUUUGACUUUCUGGUAAACAGACGCAGAACAUCUGAACCAAACUUUAUCAUCAACUUUGUUUGUUGGCUAAUUGUUAUUAACAUUUACUGCAGACUGCAGGAGCACACAGGCCUUUAUGAAUGACCUACUAACAUUUAUAACUGCGGACAUUAUGGCUCAUUAGAAAGUGAUUCAUCCACUGUUAUUAUAAAAAGAUUCUCUCACUUUAUGACGGGCAAACGGGUCUGCGGUUAUAAAUGUAUAAAUGUCAUUAAUAAAGGUUUGUGGGCUCAUGAAGCCUGCCAUUGUUCAUGUUAAUAAGCUUUUAUUUAAUGGGUUUUGAUCCACAUGUUCAGCAGCUGUCGUCCUGUUGAAUUUAAGAUUUGUCACAACCUGGCAACCCAGAAAUUGUUCUAACAAUUGCGUUUAAUAAGGAGGAGACUUGGCUUUUCUCCAAUCAGACUGAAAUUCUUCCCUCUGCAGGAGAAGAACCAGUUUUUUUCCAUUCGAGCUGUAAAGAACGAAAUACCGAGGACACGACAGUCUGAUUUCGCUGUGCGAUGACGGAGGAAGCAGAGGGUGGUUUGUUGGUGCGAGACUCAAAAUGAGGCUCUUUGAUGACUCUGAGGACGAGCAGACAGCAGAGUCUGCAGCCUCCUGCUGCUCCGGAGGCAGCCGUCACCUCCGGCCUGCAGAUGAUGACAAACAGAUCAGCAGAGUGGAGUUUCCAACAGCCAUCUAUCUGCUGAUGAAACAGAAUCAAUCAGAGCUGAUCGAUUUCAACUUGGAACCUUCAGUCGCAAAACUUGUGUGCGUGAGGACGAGCAGUAAGGAAUAUCCUCCGACUUUCUAGAGUCCAGCCUGAACCUUACGAGGUUAUGAUGCUGUCGGGAGGAAUGAAUCCUUGAAGAGUGGCCACUCGAUGGGGAACUUCAAAGUGAGCUUCAUUAUUCCAGCCACGAGAUGAGAAAUCUCUUCUACGAGUCGGACAGCAGCACUCCCACCUGUAAAUAAUCUGCCUUCUGUGAUAAAGGUUGCUCCAGUUCAGCGGCACAAAGCCGGUCAUUUAAAGGCGUCGGGGGGAACCGAACUUCUGCAGCUCAUUAUUUUAGUUUUCACUUAGAUAUAUGUGUGUUUUUGCACAUGUUGCUACAGUUCCAGUUAUGACACUCAAAACAGGGCAAAGCCAGAAAGGCAAUUAAACAUUAGUUUGUUAACCUUGGUAGAACUGGAGUUACAUCCACAUUACUUCUAGUUGCGUAAAGGCCCUGUGUGUAGAGGUUUUAUGUGAUUUUAACAUAAAUAUUUUCUAUCAAAUCCGUUUUUGUUUGUGAAAAGAAAUGAGACAAUACUUAAAAUUAGUACAGGGUGUUUCAGGUCCGGGAGGAAGCAGGCGUAUCAGAGACUGUUCUCACGUAAAGAGCGUGUUUAAAAAGACCUUUAAUUUACCUGUAAAUGGUUUUUUAUACAUACUGUAUAUAUAUAUAUUACAUAUAUGUUUUACAUGCAAAUACUCCACAUUGGAGCUUUAAAAUAUCCUCACAUUUACAUCAAUAUAUUCUUAAGUCCAGACCCCUUUAAAGUAUUUUCCUGUCUCCUAGAAAUCAAGUUUAAAUAAAACUUAUUUGCAACAGCAAAUAUGUUGAAGGAAAUGUAAUACUGUCAGAAAUGUAUUUGAAUGAGGAAAUGUUGUUAAUCAACGUAUCUGCAAAGGCGCAGAAAUGUUGAUACUUUCAGUAUCAGAAAAAUGUUCCGUGACAACGUGUUUAAUUUGUUUUCCACCUGAAAUAUCUGAUCUUGCAAUACAACAUCUGCCUGUGGUGACUACAACAUUAUUAAACUUUUUUAUGGGUAUGUUUAGGCAACUAAAGCACUAACUUUAGAGAAAGAUCGUGGCUUUGGUUUGAUACAGAAAAAGUCCGCAGUGACUCGACACGCAACUUGUUUAUUAACAGAUGAAACUGUGAUUUUUGUUUCCUAAACCACACGCAAGACUCUGGAUGCGAAAGUCCUGAAGUUUGCAUGUCGGCCGUCCACCCCGACCACAGGCCUCCAUCUCCGGUGCUGUUCAGAAAUGCAGCUCUUCAUUUACGCUGCUGAACAUAAUCCAGGCAGAGAUGAUGUUUUCCAGCAAAAUAUAAGUUAUAAAAACAGAAUUUCUAGGAGACAGGGAUGCUUCCUCCAGACCACUUUAAAUAAUUCUUUAAUUUUCUAAUGCUUAUCUUUGAAUGUACUGUAACCUACUGGCCGGGUUUUCCAGUGUAGCUGCUUUGACGUUUGAUGUUCUGCACCACUGCAGGAUGUUAUUGUUAUUAUCUGUUUAUCCGUUGACGGAUUCUCUUAGAAAUUAUAAAUGGACGACAUAGAUUUUGUUAUUUUGUCUCUUUUUAUGUUCUUCAUGGUGACACACAUCAGUAAUUUGUUAAAAUUUAGCCUUACCAUUAAGUAUACCGUUAUAUUUAGAGAUUGAAUUAUAUUUCUAUAGAGAACAACCAUAUCUACAACAGAAUUGUCAUACAUUACUUUAUAUAUAUAUUACAGUAAAAGAACUGGCAUCUAAACAUAGAUUAAAGUCUGGGCUGCAUCCAGUCAUCAGAAUCAAACGUUUCUGGGUUGAAAACCCAAAUUUCCUGUUUUACUGUUUAAUAUAUAUUGUUGAUUAAAGUUUUGUUAGUAUAUUAGUUUUUGAAUCAUAGUCGUGUCUAUAGGCUGUUAUAUACCUGUAUGAACAUAUUGUUUGUGUUUAUGAGUCGACCACUCAUCUGAUCCCACUGACAGUUAUUUGUUCUGGUUUUAGGAACAUUGGUGAAUAUUUAAGAAUCGGUCUUGAAGUGAGACGAGGGCUUUAAUGAAGGAUUUAGAAAUACUGAGGUCAUGAUAGGGAUUUGGAUGAACAGUCAGGGUUCCCAUGCAUCCUGUAAAACCUGGAACACCUGGAAACUUCAGUGCUGAUUUCUUGUCAUGGAAAAGUCCUGGAAAAUGAUAAUAUUUACCAAAAUGUUCCUGAAAACAAAAAAGUUGUCCUGAAUAAGCUUUAUAAUGUACAAUAAAUACAAUCAGGCUGUUACAGUUCCACGCCUUCUUCAUGAUUAUAUGAACGUUUUGUUGGUGGUGGUCCCAGUGGGAUGGAAACUGUAACUGUGCGUCACAACCUUGUUCUGUUUUUAUGACACGUUUUAAGUGUGUUUGUCUUUUAGGAAGUCUGUUUCACACAACUUCUGCCCUCUGCUGUGAGACAAUAAAGUUUUUUUAAAAUCUCA